GAGAACAGUCAAACUCCGCAACAAGCUAACAACUAUGUGCGAGUCUCACUCAGUGUGAGCCACCGAGUCAUUAGUACCGAUUGAUACCAAUAAUACCCUCCUGAGUCACCGGUACCACUUUAAUUAUUAUACAAGUAUACAACACCAGAUUGAUUUUUAAACGGAGAUGGUGUUAUCAGCGUUAUCCGAGAGAAGAAACAAAGAUGGAUUUUCUUGAAGUUGGUUUGUUUGCUGCAUUUUUUUGUUUUGGUUAAUAUCAUAGAAUAGGAAGAUCAAUCAAAUCGAGAAGAUUAGGGGAGAUUCUUCUUCUUGUUGUUGUUCAGUGUGUUGCCGGUGGAAGAAAGGAGGAAUCAUGCAUGUAAUGCGUCGUCUGAAGAGUUAUGCCUCUGGUCGAUCUUCCAUUUCUGAUCCCACAAAUCUUUCAAAUCGAAUUAUGCAGGAAUUGGAUUAAAGGCUACCGGUAUCUCGAUUCAAAUUAUCUGAUCCCUUUAAUCGUUUCGAUUACAUCAUUCAGUGUAAAUCUUGAGUAUGAGUUUCAGAUGUGUAAUGGUUAUGGUAAUUUUUUUUGGAUUUUGGAUAUAUAUGAGUUGAAGCGCUGAUUGCGGGUAUGACUUCAAUUUCAGUUGAAACUUAGAAAAUCAGAUCCUUAAUUUCUUCAGUUUGGGAUUAAAUGAUCAAUAUUUUACCAUACUUCUGCUGACUGUUUGUUGAAAUGCCUAAUAGAAAAUACGUUUAGUUUUGAUUUAGUUCUUAAAGAA